UGCAGUCCAAUUGACCAAAAGUCGUAAUGAUGGUCGUUUGAAGACGCCACAAUUUUCUCUUGCAGUAAUUAUUAUCGCUUUUUAAUUUCGACGGUCUGGACGGGAACGGUCCAAAUCGAUUACCUUUCCCGGCCUUGACGGGUCGUCGCCCAAAAUUGUCGGGGUUUUUGCGAUUUUAAAACCAUGGAUCGAUUUCGGGAACUUGAACUGAAAAGCAGACGCGACUGACCGAAGCCGGCAACGUUGUCGCGAAUGAUUCUCUGCUACGUUCAAACCAAAACCGUCACUGUCGCCGGCGAUUCUGCGCACUGUCGAUGGAACGUUGCUAACGUCAGAGAAGCAGUUUUAAAUUAAUCGGUUUGUGUGCUUCGGAAAAGUUUAAGUUAAGAAAAAAAAGAUCAAUUAUCGUAAUGACAUCUUUGCGGAGUGUAAAAACAUCUUUUUUUUUUAAUGAUUUAAUUGUACUCGCGCUAAUUGACCUAUUGCAUAUUCAUUGAACCGUUGGGCAAAAUUGAACUGAGG